rfam:Musa acuminata subsp. malaccensis Doubled-haploid Pahang (DH-Pahang) genomic chromosome, chr8
AUACUUACCUGGACGGGGUCUAUGGGCGAUCAUGAAGGCUCAUGGCCUAGAUCAGUGACCUCCAUUGCACCGGGGAGGGGUGCUGGUCUACCAUCUCCCCAAGCGGGAGAGUGGACGUCAUAAUUUGUGGUAGAGGGGGAACGCGUUCGCGCGGCCCCCGC